UAAUAACACAUUAUAUAAACAUUAAUGCAAAUAAGAGAUGAAGAAAGCGAUAAACACUUCCUAAUAAAUAUUAAGAAGAAAACACUUAAUUGUGAAAAAUUACUUACAUAAUAAUAAUAUGCCUUCAUUGAAAACCAACAAGGGACGAAGUACGAACGUCUGCUCUUCCACUUAAUCCCUAUUUCGAGAGAGUUAAAUACAAAUACCAAAUUACUAAUAAACCAAAAAAAGAAAAGCAGCAAUAACCAUAAUAAUAAUAACAAGAGCAAGGACAUUAGCACAAAUCAGUGAAAAGUUGAUGUUUAAAAUAUCUUUUAAAUAAAUUGAAAGAUCUAGUACUAGUGAUAA